ACGUGCCUCGGGCUCACCCCUUUUCUUUCGCGAGAGCGGGGGAGGGCUCGGAUAGUGGACGCUUUGCCGCGCCGAGCGGCUCGUCUUGAAAUGAAUUAGAGUCGAGUCCCUUUGGCGAUUAGGGUCGGAGGGUAACGGUGUGAUAAGGUCUCGCCGCGACGCCCUUCCGACUUGAACCCAAAGGCUCGCUUCGAGUCCCAAAGUCGGACUGUCCCGCUGGGGGCAUGUACCAUUAAC
rnacentral:misc_RNA from 1 species